rnacentral:rRNA from 1 species
CAGGCUUAACACAUGCAAGUCGAGGGGCAGCAUGGUCUUAGCUUGCUAAGGCCGAUGGCGACCGGCGCACGGGUGAGUAACACGUAUCCAACCUGCCGUCUACUCUUGGACAGCCUUCUGAAAGGAAGAUUAAUACAAGAUGGCAUCAUGAGUCCGCAUGUUCACAUGAUUAAAGGUAUUCCGGUAGACGAUGGGGAUGCGUUCCAUUAGAUAGUAGGCGGGGUAACGGCCCACCUAGUCUUCGAUGGAUAGGGGUUCUGAGAGGAAGGUCCCCCACAUUGGAACUGAGACACGGUCCAAACUCCUACGGGAGGCAGCAGUGAGGAAUAUUGGUCAAUGGGCGAGAGCCUGAACCAGCCAAGUAGCGUGAAGGAUGACUGCCCUAUGGGUUGUAAACUUCUUUUAUAAAGGAAUAAAGUCGGGUAUGGAUACCCGUUUGCAUGUACUUUAUGAAUAAGGAUCGGCUAACUCCGUGCCAGCAGCCGCGGUAAUACGGAGGAUCCGAGCGUUAUCCGGAUUUAUUGGGUUUAAAGGGAGCGUAGAUGGAUGUUUAAGUCAGUUGUGAAAGUUUGCGGCUCAACCGUAAAAUUGCAGUUGAUACUGGAUAUCUUGAGUGCAGUUGAGGCAGGCGGAAUUCGUGGUGUAGCGGUGAAAUGCUUAGAUAUCACGAAGAACUCCGAUUGCGAAGGCAGCCUGCUAAGCUGCAACUGACAUUGAGGCUCGAAAGUGUGGGUAUCAAACAGGAUUAGAUACCCUGGUAGUCCACACGGUAAACGAUGAAUACUCGCUGUUUGCGAUAUACUGCAAGCGGCCAAGCGAAAGCGUUAAGUAUUCCACCUGGGGAGUACGCCGGCAACGGUGAGACUCAAAGGAAUUGACAGGGGCCCGCACAAGCGGAGGAACAUGUGGUUUAAUUCGAUGAUACGCGAGGAACCUUACCCGGGCUUAAAUUGCAGAUGAAUUACGGUGAAAGCCGUAAGCCGCAAGGCAUCUGUGAAGGUGCUGCAUGGUUGUCGUCAGCUCGUGCCGUGAGGUGUCGGCUUAAGUGCCAUAACGAGCGCAACCCUUGUUGUCAGUUACUAACAGGUUCCGCUGAGGACUCUGACAAGACUGCCAUCGUAAGAUGUGAGGAAGGUGGGGAUGACGUCAAAUCAGCACGGCCCUUACGUCCGGGGCUACACACGUGUUACAAUGGGGGGUACAGAGGGCCGCUACCACGCGAGUGGAUGCCAAUCCCCAAAACCUCUCUCAGUUCGGACUGGAGUCUGCAACCCGACUCCACGAAGCUGGAUUCGCUAGUAAUCGCGCAUCAGCCACGGCGCGGUGAAUACGUUCCCGGGCCUUGUACACACCGCCCGUCAAGCCAUGGGAGCCGGGGGUACCUGAAGUGCGUAACCGCGAGGAGCGCCCUAGGGUAAAACUGGUGACUGGGGC